rnacentral:rRNA from 1 species
CUCAAUGAAAUUUAUAUAGCCGCAAUAUUUUGUGCUAAGGUAGCAUAAUCAUUUGUCUUUUAAUUAAAGACUAGAACGAAAGAUUUAACAUUUUUAUUUCUAUCUAAUAAAUAAUAAUUCAACUUAUUUUAAAUAUUAAAAAAUAUUUAUUCCUUAAGAAGACGACAAGACCCUAUUGAACUUUACUAAAGUUAAACUGGGGUAGUUAAUUAAAUAUUAUUUUAAUUUAAACCCUAAAAAUAUCCUAAUACAAUUAAAAUAUCAAGUUACCAUAGGGAUAACAGCGUAAUGAUUUUUUCAAGAUCUUAUUAUAAAAAUCGCUUACGACCUCGAUGUUGAAUUAAUAAUCUAUUAAAUGCAAAAAUUAAAAAGAAAGUC